rnacentral:rRNA from 1 species
CAGGUUAAUUCCGGUAACGAACGAGACUGAAACCUAUUAAUUAGUUUUCUGCCUAUAAGACAGAAUGUUCGCAAGAACAGGUGCGUAAGUACCACUUCUUAAAGGGACACAUUUCAAUUGUCCUAUUUUAAUUGUAGUUAUCUAAUUUCGGUUAGACCUCUUUUAACGUGGGAAAAAGAAAAAGGAAGCAUUCAGCAAUAACAGGUCUGUGAUGCCCUUAGACAUCUUGGGCCGCACGCGCGCUACAAUGGAGUUACUAGAGAGUAUUUUAUCAUUUACACCUUAUUUAUUAGGCUUUGUCUAAUAAUUAAGGAUAGUAAGUGGUGUACCGAGAUUGAAAUAGUUAAGGAAAACUCAAAAGAACGUACAUGACAGGGAUAAAUGAUUGGAAUUAUUUGUUUUGAACG